AGAGUUUGAUCCUGGCUCAGGAUGAACGCUAGCGGCAGGCUUAACACAUGCAAGUCGAGGGGCAGCAUAUUUUGUAGUAAUACAAGAUGAUGGCGACCGGCGCACGGGUGCGUAACGCGUAUGCAACCUACCAUAUACAGGGGGAUAAACUUUCGAAAGGGAGCCUAAUACCCCAUAGUAUUAUUUUAAGGCAUCUUGCAAUAAUUAAAGAUUAAUUGGUAUAUGAUGGGCAUGCGUGUCAUUAGCUAGUUGGUAAGGUAACGGCUUACCAAGGCGACGAUGACUAGGGGUUCUGAGAGGAAGAUCCCCCACACUGGUACUGAGACACGGACCAGACUCCUACGGGAGGCAGCAGUGAGGAAUAUUGGUCAAUGGGCGAGAGCCUGAACCAGCCAUGCCGCGUGCAGGAAGACGGCCCUAUGGGUUGUAAACUGCUUUUAUGUGAGGAUAAACCUAUUCUUGCGAGAGUAGCUGAAGGUAUCACAUGAAUAAGGAUCGGCUAACUCCGUGCCAGCAGCCGCGGUAAUACGGAGGAUUCGAGCGUUAUCCGGAUUUAUUGGGUUUAAAGGGUGCGUAGGCGGACUAUUAAGUCAGUGGUGAAAUACAUCAGCUCAACUGAUGCACUGCCAUUGAUACUGGUAGCCUAGAAUAUAAAUGGUGCAGGCGGAAUGAAUCAUGUAGAGGUGACAUUCAUAGAUAUGAUUCAGAACACCGAUCGCGAAGGCAGCUUGCAAAGAUAGUAUUGACGCUGAGGCACGAAAGCGUGGGUAGCGAACAGGAUUAGAUACCCUGGUAGUCCACGCCGUAAACGAUGAUAACUCGUUGUCGGCGAUACACAGUCGGUGACUAAGCGAAAGCGAUAAGUUAUCCACCUGGGGAGUACGAUCGCAAGGUUGAAACUCAAAGGAAUUGACGGGGGCCCGCACAAGCGGAGGAGCAUGUGGUUUAAUUCGAUGAUACGCGAGGAACCUUACCUAGACUUGAACGUAGAAGUGAUCAUUUAGAAAUAGAUGAGCUAGUAAUAGACUUUUACGAGGUGCUGCAUGGUUGUCGUCAGCUCGUGCCGUGAGGUGUCAGGUUAAGUCCUAUAACGAGCGCAACCCCUACACUUAGUUGCCAGCAUGUUAAGAUGGGGACUCUAAGUGGACUGCCAGCGCAAGCUGAGAGGAAGGUGGGGAUGACGUCAAAUCAGCACGGCCCUUACGUCUAGGGCGACACACGUGCUACAAUGGCCGGUACAGAGGGCAGCUACACAGUGAUGUGAUGCGAAUCUCGAAAGCCGGUCUCAGUUCGGAUCGGAGUCUGCAACCCGACUCCGUGAAGUUGGAUUCGCUAGUAAUCGCAGAUCAGCCAUGCUGCGGUGAAUACGUUCCCGGGCCUUGUACACACCGCCCGUCAAGCCAUGGAAGCUGGGGGUACCUGAAGUUCGUGACCGCAAGGAGCGACCUAGGGCAAAACUAGUAACUGGGGCUAAGUCGUAACAAGGUAGCC
rnacentral:rRNA from 1 species